GCACCAGGGGCCUUGGGUUACUAUAGCAGCAGAUGAUAAGAUCGCUCUUAUUUUAGAUGAAUGUUUUUCCCCAUUUACUUUGAAUGUCCAUUUGGCCUUUGAUUUUUAGUAAUAUUAAUGAUCCAACUGUUUAUUUUUAAGUCCGUUUUUAAAGGCUUGCGUAUCGGCCUCUCAGCUUUUGGGGCAAAGUGCUUCUUUUUGUGGUUAAAGGAAGAAAUGUUAGACUCUAAUCAUGUUGGCCCAUAUCUUGCUGAGUCUCUGGAAGCCUCUUUACAAUGUGAGAAGGCCCUGCUGCAAGCUCCAGCCACAUUGUCGGCUUCCUUUUAUAUCCUUCUUGCCGAACACUGCUUCUCGUGUUGGGAAGGUGGUGGUGUUAAUGCCGUCAAGAUAAAUGUCCAGUUUGCUGAGAUAUGAACGUUCCUCAGAUAUGGCUGCUAUGAAGAUUAUCAUAUUUUUCUGAACAUAUUCAUGAGAACAGGGGAGAUGAGAUUCUGAGAUGCCUCCAUACUUGAAGGGUUAUAUUUAUAGAAUCUUUGCUGCUAAAUCAGAUAUGAUUUUAAAACAAAAAACAGAAAGCAUUCUUUAUGCCAUAAGAUGUUAGAUUGUCUGAGCCUCUUCCUCCCAGCAUUGUGUUGAUGGUGAAUACAGGGUUCGUGAUGUGAGUUGUGUCUGAAAGCCACAGAGUUAUGAGUCGUCUUUGGUGCUAUCUUGUACUUUUCUGUAACAAUAAAAUCCCUUUGUACAGUGUCUGGUGACCACCCUGAGCCGUAAAUUGCUUAAUAAACACAAUUGGGUGAUUAAUCCAAGCUUUUUAUUUUUUUCUUGGCCUGUUGGUGCAUUUAUUCCUGGGUGCCCAGAAUGAUUCUUGGCAUUUCUACCCAGCUCUGCCAUGCAUGGGGACUUUCUUUCAGUGUUUGCCACAGUUUGUUUGUUUCCAUCUUCUUAAUGGUGGGCAAAAGGAGAAUUGAGAAAACGUGCUAGUUUGCUGGCUCAAGGAAAAAAAAUAGCAUCAAUAAACAUCAAGUGAGUAAAACAGUCCCAUGAGAUUAGAUUGAUCUUCAAUGGUAGCUUCCCGAAUAUUUCUCCUCUGGCAUCCCAAGGAUGCCCUGGCUAUGCUUUUCAUCUUCCAUGUCCUUAAUUUACAUCGAAUGUGCUGCUCUCCGUGGGGGUUGCUGUGUGAUAUUUUUCAUUAUCUAGUAUGGUCACUCCCAGAGCAUAAUCAACUCAACCCUUCAGGCACCACUUCGAGUGGGUCAUUUUGCUUAUUGUAAGCAAACCGUUAAUUUCUGGUUGGAACACUGGGCCUCUCUGUGGUGCUCCUCCGCAGUUCCAGACAGCAGCUCACAAGCUUAUGGGAUACCGGCCAUUGCCACACAGCUGGGGACACCUGACUAAUCUUCCUUCAGGGAUUCAGUUGUGUGAUUUGUCCCGCAUACCAGGGCCCCAUCUUCUUUUAAGAAAGAGUGUUUUUAAAGUAUUUCCUUCAAAUACGUGAUAAAGAGAAACAGCUGUUUACAUUUCCAUUUUGCAGUAGCCAUUUGUGAGGUAUCCCUUCUACUCCUGCAAUGGGUAGAAAAUGUUCCACGUAGGGUGAGAAUUUCCAAAAUGUAUAUGACCGUCAAUUUUCAUGGCUCCUUCAGGAUUUCAGGCCCAAACCACUUCAUUGUCCUUAACACUACAAAAAGGGGACCAGU
rnacentral:lncRNA from 1 species